rnacentral:rRNA from 1 species
UACGUAGGGUGCGAGCGUUAAUCGGAAUUACUGGGCGUAAAGCGUGCGCAGGCGGUGAUGUAAGACCGAUGUGAAAUCCCCGGGCUCAACCUGGGAAUUGCAUUUGUGACUGUACGGCUAGAGUGUGUCAGAGGGGGGUGGAAUUCCAGGUGUAGCAGUGAAAUGCGUAGAGAUCUGGAGGAACACCGAUGGCGAAGGCAGCCCCCUGGGCUAACACUGACGCUCCAUGCACGAAAGCGUGGGGAGCAAA